UACGGAGGUGGCAAGCGUUGCUCGGAAUCACUGGGCGUAAAGGGCGUCGUAGGCGGGGAGGUAAGUCGGGUGUGAAAUCCCUCGGCCCAACCGAGGAACUGCGCCCGAGACUGCUUCUCUUGAGUCCCGGAGAGGAAGGUGGAAUUCCCGGUGUAGCGGUGAAAUGCGUAGAUAUCGAGAGGAACACCUGCGGCGAAGGCGGGUUGCUGGGCCGACACUGACGCUGAUGCGCGAAAGCCAGGGGAGCGAACGGG
rnacentral:rRNA from 1 species